UGAACUUUAAUGACCCAAGCCAGAGCAAUCAGCACCAGAUCGAGUCGAGUGGCUCUCAGCCAAUUAAAUUACGCUGUUUGAUCACAUGACACCGUUAGCCAGCAGUGUGUCUCCUAAAAGAGAGCUGUUUAAAGGAAAACGUUUGACUAACUCAAAGACAAUUUCCACGCCUCCCCUGCCUGUCUGCAGAGGCAGUUUUGAAUUUAGGAGCAGCAAGAUGGAAGCGGCAAACCCUGGCGAUUCUCCGCAGAAGUUGUGCAUGCAGUUUUGGUGUGCUGCUCUCCAAGACUACAAGCUGUGUUAAAGUUGGAAGUAACUGGCCGAUGUUCCACUGUUGAAGAUCAGCUGUGCCCAUUUGUUGCACAUUGUGGGUAUGGAGAAGUUGAGGCCCUUGCAGGCUACCCACAAUUUCCCCAAACUGAGCGAUUAUACAUCUU